GCUUUACAUUCUUUAUUCAAAUUAGGACUUUGAGGUCAGCAUUCUUUUAGGUGUAACACGCACAGAAAAAUCAUACAGCAGAGCAGCAAACAGAAACCCCCCACCCAAAUCUUCAGCAUUGAAGACAUUCUCAACCCCCCAAAUAUAACUGUCCUUUUAAAAAUCGAGGAGAAGCAUGAGGACCGGGUCUGGACUGCAGACGCUCUCAGUUUAAAUAAACAGUCUCGAAGUCACAUUGACAGCAAUCUGUUAGUCCGUCCCAAACAUUCCGCCAGGCACAUUUCUCGAGCGAAUCCUCAGACGGAGGUUGAUGAGGUUGUUUUCUCUCACAUUAUUAGAAGGACCUAUACACAAUCCCAUGCAAUCAUGUAAAAUAUCCUGUCUGGAAGAGCAGCCCACUCAUGCAGCUGCUGCACGUCUGAUAAAGGACCCCUCGGCCCCCUGGUUCCAGCUCAGGAAGGCAGACCCUGUGCCAGCCACAGUCACAGUUUGACCCCGAGACCUGCCCCCAUCCCAGACAGGCCUGGCAGCCUCCGCAACGUCCUCUGCCAGGUCAGAGCCAUCAGAGCGGCCUCCCUGAGCUCAGGUGCUUCCAGACAGACCCCAGGUGAGCUAGGCUGCAUUUUCUUUAUUUUUUUUUUAUUUUAUUUUUUUUGCUAUUUCUUGGCCCGCUCCCGCGGCAUAUGGAGGCANGAAUGUGCCUAGCUGGGUUCCUAAAAUACUUGAUCUAUAGACACUGAAACUUGAAUUUCAUACUAUUGUCAUGUGUCACUAGAACAGGAGUCUUCGUUUGAAUUUUUCCAACUGUUUAACAAUGUAAAAAACAAGCUUAGCUCCCAAGCCCUACGAUAAUAGGCUCUGGCCCGUAGGCUGUAUGUAGAAGCCUCCCUGAGAUACCUAUAGAGCAGCAGUGAAACAGCUCCUCCUUAAAGCUGAGCAUCACGCAACAGACUGACUGUACUAGCCACGUGCUGGAACCUAUGAAAACAAAAGAAAGAUGAAUUACCAACAGGUGACCAAGGUGUAAAGAAGUCAGAUCCUUCCAGAGGCUCAUUGGCCCCUGCCACCCAUGGCCCCAGCCAUCCAUAGCCCCCUUAUCUUGGCAUCCGCAGACAUCGGCAAUGAAUAAAGAAGGCCAACCAGACUGGUUCCCACAGUCCUAGCCUGUGCUGGGUGCCCAUGGGAUUCAGAGCGGGAUUUUCUUGCUGGGCAUGCUUCAUCAGUCAAGGCCCCACUCCCAUCGGUGGCUCCAAGAGGGACAGAAAACCACCUCUCCAUCCCCUCAUCUCGCGGCUUGGAGUCUAGCCAUCCGGAGUCCAGCUUCUCCGACUGCUAAUGGCCCAGAGUCUAGGAGCUACGAUGUGUUUUGCCCACACGAGGGGGCUGGGGGCCAGGACCCGCUGGAGCGGCUCACAGCCAAAGCUUGCUGAUUACUCUGGCAUUUCAAUUCACCAAGCAUCUUAUUUUGCCGGGGAAAGAACGACUUCUACAAAACAGUGUAAAGAACAUUCCAGUCCAUUAUGGGAAGUCUGGCCCUUUCCACAUCAGAGAGGAGGGAUGGAAGAAAGGAAAUUUGAAAAUACUGUUAUUUGACUGUUUUAAAGUUCAGUAGCAGCAUCCACUGAGGAAGACUGCCUGCCUGCCAGGGCCUCCCCAACUGCCCGAAGCUGAAAUAUAAAGUAAGAGACGUGCACGUGGCAUUUACUUUGCAAAGGACAUUUGUACGCAAGCCCAUGAGUCUGGGCGAACAUUUCCCAGAUCCUGGUUAAAAGAAAAGAACAGUCUGCUAAGGCCCGCAGUCCACGCCUUCCCGGGGCGCGAUGCGGCGGCAGGGUCUGACCUCUCCCUGAGACCCCAGGGGUCUCCCACAAGGUACAGGGGCUGAAACACACAGUCCACGGUUAAAAACAAAUCCUAAGGGUUUGCAGCCUCGCGCAGAAAUCCGGAGCCUUCGCGAAGGCAGCCACUGGACACCCGGCGGUUGUCUUCCUUUUCCGACGCGGGCGGGAACUCCAGGGGCCUGAGCGACGGGAAAGUGGCCGAGGCUCCGUGCUUGCUGCCAGGAUCUGUCUGGGUGCGAGCUUGCGGUGAGCGGCUCCCUCUAUCCCGGGGCUCAGAGCGUCGCAGCCGCAGCCGCCUGUUGCUGUCCCUGCAAGCGCCGCGGGGCCGAGCGCCGCGGGCUCAGAGCGCAUCAGCGGGGCGCACGUAGCGCAGCGUGUAGUUGGCCCCCGCAUUGUUGUCCCAGUACUCGCCCUGGGCGCAGCGGUAGCACACGGCGAAGUGGACGGCGACGCCCGGCGCGUCCGCGUCCUCCCCCUCCUUGGGCAGCAGGCCCGGGGGCAGGCACAGCGCGAAGUGGAAGCGUUCGGCGCCGGGCUCGUCCUCGGCGUCCCCGGGCCCCCCCGACGUCGCCAACGGCGGAGGCUCCCCCGGCUCCGGCCUC
rnacentral:lncRNA from 1 species